UUUCAAAUGGCUCCUUUUCCCCUCCCCCUCGGAAGCCCAAGGGGAUUCUGCUCAGAUAUUUACUGUGAGAACUCCACCAAGUUCUUGGAGGUAAAACUCACAUAAGUUUGGGGCCCUCCCUAAGACUUGGUCCCCCUGAAGUUUUUAACUUUCAGACUUGUCCACAUUGAGUCUUCUUUAAUUCAUUAAUCACAGUGCAGGUUUUCCUCCCCCUGCACUGGUUCCCACAGCAGUAUCCACUGAAGACUGCUCAGUUUUUUAGUUGUGGUUAGGACCACGUGGCGAUUUCCAAGCUCCUUAGAUGUGGAAGUGGAAACUACACUCCUGAGUUUCUUGCCUGGCUGGAGGCAUUUAUGAAUCUCCAGGUUUCCUGGGUCCCAGCUCCUGGUAACUGUUACUGAGCCCUAAAGGACCGGUGAACCGCAAGUGGGUCCUGUUGCCCAGAGCUGCUCGCGCCAGUAGGAGAGCGGGUUCAAGCAGCAGAGCGGAAACUUUAUUCGUUGAUCAAUGAAUGGAGGAGGCAGAGCUCAUGCUCUAAAAACACCUUCUCCUCAAAGGGAAGCUUGGAGGUGGAGAAAAGUGCCAGGGACAAGGCCAUGAAGAAUUUGUUUGGUGCCAGCCACAGGGGUGAAGGUGAGGUGAAGCCACACAUUCUUCAUCUCCAAGGAGCCAGGGUCCAGGAAGAGUCCAAGACCGGGCAUCCUCAUGCCACCCAGUGAUCCUGAUGUGCCCCUAGGUUUGGACAUCUGUGAUACAUCUCACCCUUUGCCUUCAGAACUGGAUGUGACCUCUCGGUGUCAUUUGAUGAAACGAGCUCAUUAUGCCUAAGGAUUCAACUACCACCUGUAUUAUGCACGAUGACUCUCAAACCUAUACGUCCAUCCAGACCUCUCUGAUGAGCUGAGAACAUCUCCAACUACAUUCUCAACAGCCACACCAACUUGUGACCUCCCUGACCAAUCUGCUUCUCAAAGCUGAAACCCGGGCGUCCCUCACUUUGCAAUCCAAUGGUCACCAAGUCAUGUUAUCUGUCUCCUCCUUUGCACUUUACUUGGGGCCUUGAUUGCCUCUUUACUGGAUUAUUUUAACACUCUUUUUACUCAUCUCUUAGGACCCAAGCUUCUUCCUGCUUCAAGUCUAAGUUCUAAAAUAUGGCUAUGAUCACAUCAUCUUUCUCUUCUACUUCACAUCCUUCAAUGGUUUUCCAAUAACCUACAGGAUGAAGUUCUAAGUCCUCAGUAUGGUGAUCCAUGCCACUGAUGAUAUGACCCCACAUGGCCUCUCCAACCUCAUUUCUGACCACUUUGUAAUUGCUAUCUGGUGUUCCAGUAUCACAGAACAUUCACUGCACUUCCCUGAAUCCAUAAUGUGGUUUAACACUUGCUGUUGCCUUUGACUGGCAUGUCCUUCCCUACUGAUAUACCUGGAGACCACCCACCCUUCAACCCAAAGCUCAGGGCUUACUUCCUUGCUGAGAUGUUCUCUGACUCCUUCCCCUCAUCCUUUCCACGGCCCUUCCUCUUGGCUAUCACUGUGCCUUGCUUAUGCAUUUCUUUUUGUUCCUGUCUCGCAUGACUUUCUUUAUUCACGUAUCUGAAUCCCAUCUUUGUGUCUUAUCAUCUUUGUGUCAUGAGUACUUAACACGAGGCCCUCACAAUAGACACGCCUAAUGAUAUUUCUGAAUGAACAAAUGAAUGAAUGAAGGAGCCAUGCUAGACAGAUGGCAUCUGUCCUAUUUAUGAUCAAAAUUACCCCCAAGGAGUUGUAAUUCUUUGAUGAGUUUCUCAUUCCUCUCUUCAAAUAAGUUUCUAUCUUCCGCCAGCUGCUGAAGCUCUUUGAAUGCUUUAAAAUGCAGAAUUCAAAAUUGGCUGCCAAGAAAUGCCACUUCAUUUCCUUUCUAGAAUAGCAUAAUUUUCCCCAUGGCCCAGGCAAAACAGCAACCCUUGGCUAAUGUUUCAUAAAAAGGGAUUUUUUUCAGGGAAAAGGGGUUAACUAGAGAGGAAUUUAUCUUGGCUCAUUUCCGCCAUGUUUGCUCCCUAGGUGUUCCUGUCCAGGUGUGAGGACUCUUUCCUGUCUAGACACAGGGGCGGGUCAUUCCAGGUCAGGCUUUUAAUCUGAUGGUGACCCCACCUCAGGAAGUGCCAGGACCCUGUGAACCUUGCAGGCUCCCACAAUGUAGUCAUAGAUCUAGGUGAGGACCACAAUUUACAAGGCGUUUCUCUCUCCAACAGAGAGCAGAUUAGUCAUCUUUCUAAAAAUAGAAGGAGCAGGCACACAGGGGCACUUAUCUUCACUGGGAGCCCAGCCAGCAAAGCCCGUAGACCGACUGGAAGAGUUGGGUUAAGAUGAGCC
rnacentral:lncRNA from 1 species